GAUGAACGCUGGCGGCGUGCCUAAUACAUGCAAGUCGAGCGAACAGACGAGGAGCUUGCUCCUCUGACGUUAGCGGCGGACGGGUGAGUAACACGUGGAUAACCUACCUAUAAGACUGGGAUAACUUCGGGAAACCGGAGCUAAUACCGGAUAAUAUAUUGAACCGCAUGGUUCAAUAGUGAAAGACGGUUUUGCUGUCACUUAUAGAUGGAUCCGCGCCGCAUUAGCUAGUUGGUAAGGUAACGGCUUACCAAGGCAACGAUGCGUAGCCGACCUGAGAGGGUGAGCGGCCACACUGGAACUGAGACACGGUCCAGACUCCUACGGGAGGCAGCAGUAGGGAAUCUUCCGCAAUGGGCGAAAGCCUGACGGAGCAACGCCGCGUGAGUGAUGAAGGUCUUCGGAUCGUAAAACUCUGUUAUUAGGGAAGAACAAAUGUGUAAGUAACUAUGCACGUCUUGACGGUACCUAAUCAGAAAGCCAGGGCUAACUACGUG
rnacentral:rRNA from 1 species